GCUUUCCCUCAGAUGCUGCAGAACUCAC
rnacentral:piRNA from 1 species